rnacentral:rRNA from 1 species
AGGGCGCACGGUGGAUGCCUUGGCACUAGAAGCCGAUGAAGGACGUUACUAACGACGAUAUGCUUUGGGUAGCUGUAAGUAAGCGUUGAUCCAGAGAUUUCCGAAUGGGGGAACCCAGCAUGAGUUAUGUCAUGUUAUCGACAUGUGAAUUCAUAGCAUGUCAGAAGGCAGACCCGGAGAACUGAAACAUCUUAGUACCCGGAGGAAGAGAAAGAAAAAUCGAUUCCCUGAGUAGCGGCGAGCGAAACGGGAAGAGCCCAAACCAACAAGCUUGCUUGUUGGGGUUGUAGGACACUCUAUACGGAGUUACAAAAGAACAUGUUAGACGAAUCAUCUGGAAAGAUGAAUCAAAGAAGGUAAUAAUCCUGUAGUCGAAAACAUAUUCUCUCUUGAGUGGAUCCUGAGUACGACGGAGCACGUGAAAUUCCGUCGGAAUCUGGGAGGACCAUCUCCUAAGGCUAAAUACUCUCUAGUGACCGAUAGUGAACCAGUACCGUGAGGGAAAGGUGAAAAGUACCCCGGAAGGGGAGUGAAAGAGAACUUGAAACCGUGUGCUUACAAGUAGUCAGAGCCCGUUAAUGGGUGAUGGCGUGCCUUUUGUAGAAUGAACCGGCGAGUUACGAUCUGAUGCAAGGUUAAGCAGAAAAUGUGGAGCCGUAGCGAAAGCGAGUCUGAAUAGGGCGUUGAGUAUUUGGUCGUAGACCCGAAACCAGGUGAUCUACCCUUGGUCAGGUUGAAGUUCAGGUAACACUGAAUGGAGGACCGAACCGACUUACGUUGAAAAGUGAGCGGAUGAACUGAGGGUAGCGGAGAAAUUCCAAUCGAACUUGGAGAUAGCUGGUUCUCUCCGAAAUAGCUUUAGGGCUAGCCUCAAGUGAUGAUUAUUGGAGGUAGAGCACUGUUUGGACGAGGGGCCCCUCUCGGGUUACCGAAUUCAGACAAACUCCGAAUGCCAAUUAAUUUAACUUGGGAGUCAGAACAUGGGUGAUAAGGUCCGUGUUCGAAAGGGAAACAGCCCAGACCACCAGCUAAGGUCCCAAAAUAUAUGUUAAGUGGAAAAGGAUGUGGCGUUGCCCAGACAACUAGGAUGUUGGCUUAGAAGCAGCCAUCAUUUAAAGAGUGCGUAAUAGCUCACUAGUCGAGUGACACUGCGCCGAAAAUGUACCGGGGCUAAACAUAUUACCGAAGCUGUGGAUUGUCCUUUGGACAAUGGUAGGAGAGCGUUCUAAGGGCGUCGAAGCAUGAUCGCAAGGACAUGUGGAGCGCUUAGAAGUGAGAAUGCCGGUGUGAGUAGCGAAAGACGGGUGAGAAUCCCGUCCACCGAUUGACUAAGGUUUCCAGAGGAAGGCUCGUCCGCUCUGGGUUAGUCGGGUCCUAAGCUGAGGCCGACAGGCGUAGGCGAUGGAUAACAGGUUGAUAUUCCUGUACCACCUAUAAUCGUUUUAAUCGAUGGGGGGACGCAGUAGGAUAGGCGAAGCGUGCUGUUGGAGUGCACGUCCAAGCAGUAAGGCUGAGUGUUAGGCAAAUCCGGCACUCAUAAGGCUGAGCUGUGAUGGGGAGAGGAAAUUGUUUCCUCGAGUCGUUGAUUUCACACUGCCGAGAAAAGCCUCUAGAUAGAUAACAGGUGCCCGUACCGCAAACCGACACAGGUAGUCAAGAUGAGAAUUCUAAGGUGAGCGAGCGAACUCUCGUUAAGGAACUCGGCAAAAUGACCCCGUAACUUCGGGAGAAGGGGUGCUCUUUAGGGUUCACGCCCAGAAGAGCCGCAGUGAAUAGGCCCAAGCGACUGUUUAUCAAAAACACAGGUCUCUGCUAAACCGUAAGGUGAUGUAUAGGGGCUGACGCCUGCCCGGUGCUGGAAGGUUAAGGGGAACUGUGAGUGUAUGCGUAGCGGUGAACUUAAGCCCCAGUAAACGGCGGUGGUAACUAUAACCAUCCUAAGGUAGCGAAAUUCCUUGUCGGGUAAGUUCCGACCUGCACGAAUGGAGUAACGAUUUCCCUACUGUCUCCACCAUGAACUCGGUGAAAUUGCAUUACGAGUAAAGAUGCUCGUUACGCGCAGCAGGACGGAAAGACCCCGGGACCUUUACUAUAGUUUGGUAUUGGUGAUUGGGACGGUUUGUGUAGGAUAGGUGGGAGACGUUGAUGCGGCCACGCUAGUGGUGGUGGAGUCGUUGGUGAAAUACCACUCUGAUUGUUCUGGUUAUCUCACUGUGGACCGUGAUCCGGUUCAAGGACAGUGCCUGAUGGGUAGUUUGACUGGGGCGGUCGCCUCCUAAAAGGUAACGGAGGCGCUCAAAGGUUCCCUCAGAAUGGUUGGAAAUCAUUCAUAGAGUGUAAAGGCAUAAGGGAGCUUGACUGCGAGACCUACAAGUCGAGCAGGGUCGAAAGACGGACUUAGUGAUCCGGUGGUUCCGCAUGGAAGGGCCAUCGCUCAACGGAUAAAAGCUACCCCGGGGAUAACAGGCUUAUCUCCCCCAAGAGUUCACAUCGACGGGGAGGUUUGGCACCUCGAUGUCGGCUCAUCGCAUCCUGGGGCUGUAGUCGGUCCCAAGGGUUGGGCUGUUCGCCCAUUAAAGCGGUACGCGAGCUGGGUUCAGAACGUCGUGAGACAGUUCGGUCCCUAUCCGUCGUGGGCGUAGGAAAUUUGAGAGGAGCUGUCCUUAGUACGAGAGGACCGGGAUGGACAUACCUCUGGUGUACCAGUUGUCGUGCCAACGGCAUAGCUGGGUAGCUAUGUAUGGACGGGAUAAGUGCUGAAAGCAUCUAAGCAUGAAGCCCCCCUCAAGAUGAGAUUUCCCAACUUCGGUUAU